rnacentral:rRNA from 1 species
GACGAACGCUGGCGGCGUGCUUAACACAUGCAAGUCGAACGGAAAGUCCCUGCUUUUGUGGGGUGCUCGAGUGGCGAACGGUUGAGUAACACGUGAUUAACCUGCCCUUUACUUUGGGAUAACUUCAGGAAACUGUGGCUAAUACCGGAUAGUAUCUCCUUCUGCAUGGUGGGUGUUGGAAAUUUUCGGCGGUUGUGAAUGGACUCGCGGCUUAUCAGCUUGUUGGUGGGGUAGUUGCUUACCAAGGCUUUGACGGGUAGCCGGCCUGAGAGGGUGACCGGCCAAAUAGGGAUUGAGAAAAGGCCCAGACUCAAAGGGGAGGCAGCGGUGGGGAAUAUGGCAAAAGGGGCGGAAGAGGGAGGCAGAAAGGCCGGGUGGGGAAUGACGGCUUUGGGGUUGUAAAAGGAUUUGGCCGGGAACGAAGAGGGAGUGAGGGAAAUGGGAAAAGAAGAACCGGCUAAUUAGGU